GAGUUUGAUCCUGGCUCAGAUUGAACGCUGGCGGCAGGCCUAACACAUGCAAGUCGAACGGUAGCACAGAGGAGCUUGCUCCUUGGGUGACGAGUGGCGGACGGGUGAGUAAUGUCUGGGAAACUGCCCGAUGGAGGGGGAUAACUACUGGAAACGGUAGCUAAUACCGCAUAACGUCGCAAGACCAAAGAGGGGGACCUUCGGGCCUCUUGCCAUCGGAUGUGCCCAGAUGGGAUUAGCUAGUAGGUGGGGUAACGGCUCACCUAGGCGACGAUCCCUAGCUGGUCUGAGAGGAUGACCAGCCACACUGGAACUGAGACACGGUCCAGACUCCUACGGGAGGCAGCAGUGGGGAAUAUUGCACAAUGGGCGCAAGCCUGAUGCAGCCAUGCCGCGUGUAUGAAGAAGGCCUUCGGGUUGUAAAGUACUUUCAGCGAGGAGGAAGGCGUUGUGGUUAAUAACCGCAACGAUUGACGUUACUCGCAGAAGAAGCACCGGCUAACUCCGUGCCAGCAGCCGCGGUAAUACGGAGGGUGCAAGCGUUAAUCGGAAUUACUGGGCGUAAAGCGCACGCAGGCGGUCUGUCAAGUCGGAUGUGAAAUCCCCGGGCUCAACCUGGGAACUGCAUCCGAAACUGGCAGGCUAGAGUCUUGUAGAGGGGGGUAGAAUUCCAGGUGUAGCGGUGAAAUGCGUAGAGAUCUGGAGGAAUACCGGUGGCGAAGCGGCCCCCUGGCAAAGACUGACGCUCAGUGCGAAAGCGUGGGGAGCAAACAGGAUUAGAUACCCUGAGUCCACGCCGUAAACGAUGUCGACUUG
rnacentral:rRNA from 1 species